rnacentral:rRNA from 1 species
GAGCGAACGGAUGAGAAGCUUGCUUCUCUGAUGUUAGCGGCGGACGGGUGAGUAACACGUGGAUAACCUACCUAUAAGACUGGGAUAACUUCGGGAAACCGGAGCUAAUACCGGAUAAUAUUUUGAACCGCAUGGUUCAAAAGUGAAAGACGGUCUUGCUGUCACUUAUAGAUGGAUCCGCGCUGCAUUAGCUAGUUGGUAAGGUAACGGCUUACCAAGGCAACGAUGCAUAGCCGACCUGAGAGGGUGAUCGGCCACACUGGAACUGAGACACGGUCCAGACUCCUACGGGAGGCAGCAGUAGGGAAUCUUCCGCAAUGGGCGAAAGCCUGACGGAGCAACGCCGCGUGAGUGAUGAAGGUCUUCGGAUCGUAAAACUCUGUUAUUAGGGAAGAACAUAUGUGUAAGUAACUGUGCACAUCUUGACGGUACCUAAUCAGAAAGCCACGGCUAACUACGUGCCAGCAGCCGCGGUAAUACGUAGGUGGCAAGCGUUAUCCGGAAUUAUUGGGCGUAAAGCGCGCGUAGGCGGUUUUUUAAGUCUGAUGUGAAAGCCCACGGCUCAACCGUGGAGGGUCAUUGGAAACUGGAAAACUUGAGUGCAGAAGAGGAAAGUGGAAUUCCAUGUGUAGCGGUGAAAUGCGCAGAGAUAUGGAGGAACACCAGUGGCGAAG